GUCUCACUUGGAGGGCAAGUCUGGUGCCAGCAGCUGCGGUAAUUCCAGCUCCAAUAGCGUAUAUUAAAGUUGUUGCAGUUAAAAAGCUCGUAGUUGAAUUUCGGGAUCAAUUUAUUGGUCGUGCUAUCGUACGUACUGGUAUUAUUGAUUCCUACCUUCUGACGAACCAUGAUGUCAUUAAUUUGGUGUCAUGGGGAAUCAGGACUGUUACUUUGAAAAAUUAGAGUGUUUAAAGCAGGCUCACGCUUGAAUACAUUAGACAUGGAAUAACGAAAUAGGACGUUUGAUUCUAUUUGUUGGUUUCUAGGAUCGACGUAAUGAUUAAUAGGGAUAGUUGGGGGCAUUAGUAUUCAAUUGUCAGAGGUGAAAUUCUUGGAUUUAUUGAAGACUAACUACUGCGAAAGCAUUUGCCAAGGAUGUUUUCAUUAAUCAAGAACGAAAGUUGGGGGCUUGAAGACGAUCAGAUACCGUCCUAGUCUCAACCAUAAAAGAUUCUGGCACCUUAUG
rnacentral:rRNA from 1 species